CUCUGCUUAUGGGGAAGGAUGUUGAUCUGAGUCUCAGAGACCACCCAGCUUCAUCUCUAUGGUGUUCUUUUGCUUUGGAAAAUGGCAGCAGCCCCUUCCAUUGUUGAUAUGGGGUUGUGUUUGGUACACCAGGGGCCAUCCCAGGGACUGCCAGAAAGAGCCACGAUCCUGCUGCCACCAUUAAGGUUCUCUCUAGAACUGUCACCCCCCAACUCACUUAAUGGAUCCAGCUGUGGCCCUUUUCUUCAUUUCCAAGGUGCUUCCUCCACUGACAAGAGCCUGCCCUCCUGUUCCUGCUCCUCCUUAUAUGGGGCAGAAGUGGCUCAGCUCUCUCCUACCCUGAGAGCUUCCAGGGAUUGUAAUCUCAGCGCCUGAGAGGUGAAGGAGGAGAAUCGGGAAUUCAAGGUCAUCCUCACAGGGAGAUACUCUCAGACACAUCCCGAAGUGUGUCUUUUAGGUGACUCUAAAUUCUGUCAAGUUGAUAAGGAAGACACGCCCUCGCAGCGAGCAGAUUCAGUUUGAAAAGGCUCCCGGGAAGAACAAGCAUGCAGGCCGUUGGAAAUGCAUUCCAGCAUUGAGCCACAUGCCAGGAGCUACCCGGAAGACAUCUGGGAACACAAUCAAUGACCCACUGGCAGGAAUCCAGACUUGAUUGAUGCUGGGGUCUGCAGCUGGUGUGAAGACUUGAUUCUGGUUGGGUCGGAGACAGAGACAGACUAGAAGAAUCUACCCAUGGCAUCUUCAAGUCCAAGGGGAUGUCGAGAGAGGCAGGGUUUGGAUCCCAUCUGCCCGUUUCUGCCGCUUAGGCGCGUGUCUGAGACAUA